GGGGAUUUAGCUCAGUGGUAGAGCGCUUGCCUAGCAAGCGCAAGGCCCUGGGUUCAGUCCCCAGCUCCCCCC
rnacentral:tRNA from 1 species